UGGGGAAUAUUGCGCAAUGGGCGAAAGCCUGACGCAGCGACGCCGCGUGGGGGAGGAAGGCCUUAGGGUCGUAAACCCCUGUCAGAUGGGACGAACCGUAGAUCGGCGAAUACCUGAUCUGCCUGACGGUACCAUCAGAGGAAGCUCCGGCUAACUCCGUGCCAGCAGCCGCGGUAAUACGGAGGGAGCGAGCGUUGUUCGGAAUUACUGGGCGUAAAGGGCGCGUAGGCGGCCGUGUAAGUCGGAUGUGAAAGGCCGGGGCUCAACUCCGUGCAUUGCAUCCGAUACUGUAUGGCUGGAGAAAGGUAGAGGCGAGCGGAAUUCCCGGUGUAGCGGUGGAAUGCGUAGAUAUCGGGAAGAACACCCGUGGCGAAGGCGGCUCGCUGGGCCUUUUCUGACGCUGAAGCGCGAAAGCGUGGGGAGCAA
rnacentral:rRNA from 1 species